UAAGGAAUAUUGGUCAAUGGACGCAAGUCUGAACCAGCCAUGCCGCGUGAAGGAUGAAGGUCCUCUGGAUUGUAAACUUCUUUUAUCUGGGACGAAAACGGGAUUUUUAUCUCAAUUGACGGUACCAGAGGAAUAAGCACCGGCUAACUCCGUGCCAGCAGCCGCGGUAAUACGGAGGGUGCGAGCGUUAUCCGGAUUUACUGGGUUUAAAGGGUGCGUAGGUGGGCUUAUAAGUCAGUGGUGAAAUCUCCGAGCUUAACUUGGAAACUGCCGUUGAUACUAUAGGUCUUGAAUAUUGCGGAGGUAAGCGGAAUAUGUCAUGUAGCGGUGAAAUGCUUAGAUAUGACAUAGAACACCAAUUGCGAAGGCAGCUUACUACACAAUCAUUGACACUGAGGCACGAAAGCGUGGGUAGCGAACA
rnacentral:rRNA from 1 species